rnacentral:rRNA from 1 species
UACGGGGGGAGCAAGCGUUGUUCGGAUUUACUGGGCGUAAAGAGCUCGUAGGUGGUUUGUCGCGUUGUCCGUGAAAACUCACAACUCAAUUGUGGGCGUGCGGGCGAUACGGGCAGACUGGAGUACUGCAGGGGAGACUGGAAUUCCUGGUGUAGCGGUGGAAUGCGCAGAUAUCAGGAGGAACACCGGUGGCGAAGGCGGGUCUCUGGGCAGUAACUGACGCCGAGGAGCGAAAGCGUGGGGAGCGAACAGG